AAGGACGAACGCUGGCGGCGUGCCUAACACAUGCAAGUCGAACGGAGCGAAAGAAGCUUGCUUCUGGCGCUUAGUGGCGGACGGGUGAGUAACACGUGAGCAACCUGCCUUUCAGAGGGGAAUAAUGUCUGGAAACGGACACUAAUACCGCAUAACAUAUUGAAUCUGCAUGGAUUUAAUAUCAAAGGAGCAAUCCGCUGAAAGAUGGGCUCGCGUCUGAUUAGCCAGUUGGCGGGGUAACGGCCCACCAAAGCGACGAUCAGUAGCCGGACUGAGAGGUUGAACGGCCACAUUGGGACUGAGAUACGGCCCAGACUCCUACGGGAGGCAGCAGUGGGGAAUAUUGCACAAUGGGGGAAACCCUGAUGCAGCAACGCCGCGUGCAGGAAGACGGUCUUCGGAUUGUAAACCUUAAACAACAGGGACGAAGCAGUGACGGUACCUGUUAGGAAGCCACGGCUAACUACGUGCCAGCCGCUGC
rnacentral:rRNA from 1 species